rnacentral:lncRNA from 1 species
AUGCCACACACCCCGCGCCAACGCUUGCAGCCCCGCGCACCUGUGUGGUCCGAGACGGAAACGCGGGAUUUCCUGGCCCUCUGGGGUGAGCUCCUCAUCCUGCGGUGGAUCGAAAAUCGCCCACCAAACAGUGACAUCUACGAAGACCUCUCGGCCCAAAUGAUGGCCCGGGGUCACGAGCGCAAUGCCUCGCAGUGUAGGAACAGAGCUCGGGAUCUGAAGCGGAGCUACCGGAGGGCCAAGGAUGCACAAGUGUGCGCCGGAGCAGAACCGGUUUCCUGUCGCUACUUCCGAGAGUUGGAUCGGAUGUUCGGUGGCGAAAUGGACAGCGUUGCAAAUCGAAGCCUGGGCAGCAUGGACGGAUCCAGGCGCGUUGUUGUGAAGACCGAGGACGCUGAAGAUAUGGAGGCCCACGUCUCUGAGGAAGAGGGCAACCAAAUGACGCCACCAAACACGCUUUCGAGCAUGGAUGCCGACACUGACACAGAAACAGAACCCAAUUUGGGGAUCUCGCGAGAUCUGGUGGCCUCAGACCCGGAUGUGAUUGAAACCACAAUAGGAGAAGAGUGCUCUGAAGAGAAACCAGUGCCUUUACGCAGACAACCAGUCGCUGGCCCCAGUGAAGAUGGGCAUCAUGUUGCUACUGGCCGCGGAAGACGGGAGAAUAGCCUUGGGCGUCCUCUGACAACAGCGGAAAGAAUGGCAUCCAUGCGGGAGAGGAAGCGGCGGUCGCAUGAAGAAAUGAUGCAUGAGAUCAUGACAGACUACAGGAGGGCCUGGGAAACCAUGGAGGCACUUCACGAAAGAGGCGAAGUCAGUGCUGGGGAGUUUCGUGAAGCAAUGCUGAGGGAAAUGCUUCUAGAUCGAGAGGCUCGGACCCGAGAAGCCCAGCUCGAUCGUGAAUCUCGGGCUCGAGAGGCCCAGUUGGACAGAGAGUCAAGGGCCAGGGACAGCCAGCUGGAGAGGGAGAUCAGGAUUAAGGAGCUCAACAUGAUUGAAGCAGAGUUGCAGCGCACCAGGGAUCUCCUCCAUCCCAUGGUUGAUGCUGUGGUCUCUGUUGCUGAGAUCUUGCGUACAACAGGCAAAAAACUACGGCAGUCUUGUCAACUGAACCAAAGUGAAGAAGGUCCCUUUUUGGAAUUGGGAGAUAACAAAUAG